AGUGAAAACUGCAGGAACUUCAAACCAGCACUAGGAAACAGACUGAGAAACCAGAGUAAUAAGUGUUUCCCAUGCAACACUGUCCCUUUAUGCUAGAUGAACGAAUGUCUCUCCACAUGCUCUGUUCUCACAGAUAAGUGUGUGUGAAAGUCAUCCUUCACCUAGUUUGUUGGGAA